rnacentral:lncRNA from 10 species
GCAUCACAGACGUAUCCGAGAUCUGGGACUGCAGCUCCCGAUCUCUUCAUACAGCUGCCUCAGGAAGUUGAUCUCGUCAGUCAGCCCUUCCAGCAGAAGUCACACUAUAUGACACCCAGGACUCGGCCUUAUGAGAUCGUCAGCUUCCACAGGCUCUCUUGAAGCACUCCCUGUUAGAAGCCGGCAGCCAUCUAAGUCUAUCUUAAGAACAUGUUACUGUGAGGAUGCCCAAGCUAUGUGGAGAGAGAAAGAGGCCAAUAGAGAUGCACUGACACCAAACAAGAAGCUUUCUCGGACUUUCUGGCUCAGCUCAACCACCAGCUGAAUGCAGCCAAGGAAAGACUCAGCCAACGUCACAGGGAGCAGAACCCUCCAAAUGAGUGACACUGAAUUCCUAAUCCACAGAAUCAUGAGUAAAUAAAUGACAGUAGCUUUUGCUCAUCAAAUUCUGGGUAGUUUGCUUUGCAAUAAUAGUAACAUAAAUUUAGUAGAGUUGGACACAAUUUGAAAGAAAUACAGGCUGGGUGCGGAUGCUCACGCCUGCAAUCCCAGCACUUUGGGAGGCUGAGGUGGGAGGAUCACUCGAGGUCAGGAGUUUGAGACCAGCAAGGCCAACAAGGUGAAACCACGUCUCUACUAAAGAUAUAAAAGUUAGCCGGGUGUGGUGGCAGACUGAGGCAGGAGAAUUGCUUGAAUCUGGGAGGCGGAGGUUGCAGUGAGUGGAGAUUGCACCACUGCAUUCCAGCCUGGGCAAUAGGGAGG